rnacentral:rRNA from 1 species
ACACAGGUGCUGCAUGGCUGUCGUCAGCUCGUGUCGUGAGAUGUUGGGUUAAGUCCGUAACGAGCGCAACCCUGUCCUUAGUUACCAGCACGUUAUGGUGGGCACUCUAAGGAGACUGCCGGUGACAAACCGGAGGAAGGUGGGGAGUGACGUCAAGUCAUCAUGGCCCUUACGGCCUGGGCUACACACGUGCUACAAUGGUCGGUACAAAGGGUUGCCAAGCCGCGAGGUGGAGCUAAUCCCAUAAAACCGAUCGUAGUCCGGAUCGCAGUCUGCAACUCGACUGCGUGAAGUCGGAAUCGCUAGUAAUCGUGAAUCAGAAUGUCACGGUGAAUACGUUCCCGGGCCUU